CAGUGAAGGUUAUCACAUUAGUCUGUAAUGUCUGGGUUUCCCGGCUUCAAUUGUGAUAUUCUGGCCAUAGAUCUGCUAGUUUAUAUCAAGUUCCACCAGGAAGACAAAGAAGAAAGCCACAGUUUGAUAGCAUUCAUAGCUGUCUUCUGGCUGAGACAUCAUUUGCAAAGUCCUAGAAAUGUGGAAAAGACUCCUGUUUGCUACCAGUGUGCGUAGUCAAUGACCCUAGAAAGUUUCAGAAUGGACUGUAGGUUUUCUGUCAAUUGAUUUAUAGGAACUUAAGAUUCAUCAUCUGUAUCCAUUUGAGAUAUGUUUGAGUUUUUUAAAUGUACUUGUUGACAAUUACAAAAUUUCUUUUCAAAAUUGCCUCUGUUGGGUUACAAAGAUUCUGAUUCUCCAAGUAGAUUACAGACAAUUAAGUUCUUGGUGGGAUGUGUGGUACAAAGUUUAUAAGCAUUUUGCCCAUAUAUAUGUCUGUGAGCACAGUGCCCAAAGAGGCCAGAAGAGGAUAUCAGACACCCUAGGACUGCAGUUACAGAUGAUGGUUGAGCUACCAUAUGGGUGCUUGGAAUCAAACCUGGGUCCUCUGGAAGAGCAGUCAGUGAUCCUAACUACUGAUUACGAAGAGACAUUCAGUGAGAGACAUGGGAAGACAGAAUUCUGGUGUGUUCUAAGAUUUGCUUCUAAGAUUGUUACGGUGAUCUCCAUCCAUCUGACUGCAGAGAGGAGAGAAAGUGAAGAAGUAUAUGUUGGAGAUGAAUGUGGUCUAGACAAGGAAGCUAAAUUUGUACUGGCCUGAAAGUGAUACAGCCAUGGCUUAGUUGUGAGAGAGGUGAAGAAAUGAAAUUCAUCUGUGCACUGGUGAAGAGAAAAAUAAAUGUGUCCUGAGACCAGGUGACUGAUGCUAUCUCAAUAUGAGACCUAUGUUGGGAGCUCCCUGUGUAUUCACUCAUUCACUCACUCACUCACUUAUUCAUCUGACUGUUUACUAAUAAAAUCAA